GCAGUGGUGGUCUAAGGGGUAGAAUUCUCACCUGCCAUGCAGGAGACCCGGGUUCCAUUCCUGGCCAGUGCA
rnacentral:tRNA from 1 species